ensembl:lincRNA
CUCAUCUGCCUGCGCAGAGGGAUGUAGCUGACUACAGCCUCCUCAGAGGGUCUCCCCAGGCAGGACCUCAGGCUUGGAUUCUAGGAACCUCUUUGGAGAUAGCCCAGAUAGAUGGGCAACGUCCUGACAGGUUAGCCAGGCAUCUUGAUUCCCUCUUCCCUAAUUCCAACUCCUAACUUCCAGCCCCUCCCCCUGACCCUUCCCCUCCACUGGCUUCUAUCACCCCCAGCUCACCCACAGGGUCCCCUCAUUCAGACCCAUGUAUGCAGGCCCUAGUCCUCACUUUCCAACAGUUCCUUCUAGCCCAGGCCUGGUGACUGGCUUCUGCAGAGAAUGUUAGAGCUGAAAGGACCCUAAAGAGCCACCACUCUGCAUUUUACACACGAAGAAACCAUGACCCAGAGAGACUGUGACAGAUCCAGGGCUACCAUUUGGUAAUGGCAGAGACAGACUGGUUUCCAGGAAUUCCGGAAACGUUUGCUCCACCAACCUGCACACAGAAAGUCAAAUUAAGGAGGUCCUUGGAGAAGGUCAAACAGGGAGAAUGGACUCCACUGUCACUGCCCCAAAACAAGACAAAUGCGGAUACCGAGGGGAUGGAGUACCUGGGAUUUACAACAAUACAGCAAGAUUCAAAACCUGGCUGAGACCUGGCGCAGUGGCUCACAUCUGUAAUCCCAGCACUUUAGGAGGCCAAGGUGGGUGAAUUGCCUGAGGUCAGGAGUUCAAGACAAGCCUGACCAACAUGGUGAAACCCUGCCUCUGCUAAAAAUACAAAAAUUAUUCAGGCGUGGUAGUGCAUGCCUGCAAUCCCAGUUAGUCUUCUCAAGAUUCUUCCCUUGUGAAGCUUCUAUUGUAUUUUGGGUUUUUUGUUUUGUUUUGUUGUUUUUUUAAGAGAGGCAGGAUCUUCUUCUGUCACCCAGGCUAGAGUGCAGUACUGCGAUCAUAGUUCACUGCAGCCUCCACUUCCUGGGCUCAAACGAUCCUCCCACCUCAGCCUCCUGAGUAGCUGGGACUAUAGGCAUGUGCCACCGUGCCUAGCUAAUUUUUAAGAAAUUGUUUUGUAGAGACGGGGUCUCGUUAUGUUUUCCAGGGUGGUCUCAAACUCCUGGACUCAAGCAGUCUUCCCACCUCAGCUUCCCAAAGUGUUGGGAUUACAGGCGUAAACCACCAUACUCAGUCAUUAUAUUUUAUUCUUAUAUUUGUUUAUAACUCCAUCUCAAGACAAUUGUUCACCAACUGGAUUUUGAGGUCUCUGUAUCUUCCAAGAAUUUAGGACCCCUUAGCCUAAAGCAGGACUGACUUAAGGACCCUUUGUGUGGUAGACCUUACUAUUGGACAAACAUUAUACUUCCCUGCCCCAGGAGAGUUGAGGUUUGGCCAUAUGACUUGCUUUGGCCAAUGAAACGUGAGCAGCAGCGACAGGCGUCACUUCUAGACAGAAGUUUUAAGAAUUAGUGAGUGAUUCCAUGUGUCGAUCUUUUUUCCCUCUGCUGUGAAACCAUAAGUGCUCCAGAUCCAGGAGUCCCGGUGUCAUGCCAUCAGCCCAGGAGUGAAAUCAACAGAGCAGUCCAUGACCGACUCAUAAUGAACAUGUAUUACAAAUGAAAAAUAACCUUUCUUAUUGUAAGCCACCAAGAUUUUAUGAUUGUUAUCACAGCAUAACCACACCCACCUUGAUGUUGUUUUUGUACACUAGUUGUGUCCAAUAAAGUUGAUUAGACAGGUUGUUUUCUAUCUCCCUACUGACUUUUUUUUUUUUUUUUUUUUUGAGACAGGGCCUCGCUCUGUGGCCCAAGCCGGAGAGCAGUGGCGCGAUCCCAGCUCACUGCAGCCUCAACCUCGCCGACUCAAGCGAUCCUUCCACCUCAGCCUUUCAAGGAGCUGGGACCACAGGUGCAUGCCACCACACCCGGCUAAUUUAUUAUGUUGCCCAGGUUGGUCUCGAACUCCUGAGCACAGGCGAUCUGCCUGCUUCGACCUCACAAAAUACUGAGAUUAUAGGAGUGAGCCACCGUGCCUGGCCUCCCUACUGACUUUUCACUGGGAAAUGAUCGACUGAUUCCGGUAGAUGACACUAAACCUUCCAUAGACUACAUGUAGCUUCAUUUGUUAUAUUCAUGGCUCUCCCACACUGUUCUUCCUGCCACUUCUAAAGGACAAGGCUUUAUCAAUCUGGGUUGUAGUGUCCCAUUUUUUAAAUUGGUGGGACCAUUUAAUUCACACUUUCAUGUAUCCUAGCCUGAACAUUCAAGGUGAGUCGACUGGUUGUAUCAAGGAUACCCACAUCC